rnacentral:ribozyme from 15 species
GAAAGCAAUAAAACAAACACACUGCGAAGAUUGACAAAAGGGAAAGUAAGAUGAGAACAUUGUUUGAUUCUUCUGGCAAUUCUUCCUCCAUCUCGUCGGCCAUUUUCUAAUUGACGCUUCUUUAUUCUU